CUUGGAGAGAGCAAGCCAAGAAUCCCUACCCUCCCUCCCUCCCUCCCUCCCUUAGAGAGAGCAAGCCAAGAAUUACAUACAUACUACAUUCUUCUUCCUGGUUCAGGUUCCUGAGAUAUCAGACUGACCUAAUGAAGCACUCACAACUCAACUGAACAUUGGGAUAGUUUUAAAGAAUGAUAUCAGACCUGCAAGGAAAUUGAACCGUCGACCGGGCUGACCAGAAGCAACAUGACCAGUGUUAACUCCCCCGCCUGCCUCCUGGCUCGUAACCAGUUCUAUAGAAGGAAGGCCUAGAAGGCCCUGACGGUUCCCCACUGAUACAGAAAGACUGAGCAACCAGGAAUGUCUCUGAAAAGCUGCAUGUGAAUGUGCUUAUCUGAAAUACACAACAAGCCCUACAGAGAGUAUAAAGCCUAAUGCAGUCUACAGCCUCUCUGAUUGGUCGAUGCUACAAGUACUGGUCUGGGUGACCAUGUCAACACAACCAGGGUUCCCAGGAGCAGGGGGAAUAUCUAAAGGAAGGUGGGUCAGUGUGGUUCUGGGGGAGCCCCAAACCAUGCACCGCCCCGUCCAGCCCACCGCCCCGUCCAGCCCACCGCCCUCGCCCAGUGCUCCCGUCCAGCACCCCGGUCCAGCGCCCCCCAGUCCAGCUCCCCGGUCCAGCUCCCCGGUCCAGCUCCCGGUCCAGCGCCCCCGGUCCAGCGUCCCCGGUCCAGCGCCCCGGGUCCAGCGCCCCCGGUCCAGCGCCCCCCAGCCAACAGAGCGGUCCAGUAGAGUCACACCACCACCAAUCAACAGGUUGAAACACAAAGAGGGAAAGACUCCAAGAGGAAGACGAGGGAGAAGACAUCUUCCACUCUGUCUGUCCUCUCAGCACAGAAAUAUGGACUUGAUCAAGCCAGUCGGUGUCGAACAUGUUUUACAUUUUGCGUCACUCCCUAUCCUACCCUGAAAAAUGCCAUUUCUGCAAGCGCUCUCUAAAAACAGACUUCAGCCUUUAUUCAAUCUCUAUUCGCUGAGGCGUUACAGAUUGCACGCUAUAAAUUUAAAGGUCAUUUCUGAUUGAGUCGACAUAUUACAGCGUUUACCGUGAAUGCACUCUCCACUAACAUUGCCUUUUAAAUUUAAAUCGUGACGUAACGCUGAACUUCCGCGAUAUGGAUUGAAAAGACCCUCCCUUUAUAUUAUUCCAUACAUUGGUAUAAGAUAUGAAUUCAAUCAAACACACAGUCCAGUUAUACACCCUCUGCUCCUACUCUCCUUUUUCUAUUGUUAAUUUUCCCCUCCCUUCCUUUCUUCAUUUCAUAACUUUGGCCACAGCCUGUUCUACUCUGUGCAGCAUAACUAACGGAACAAGAUGUUCCCUUUUCUCCUGAUACUGGCUGGUUGCCAGGCAGCAAUAUGGGAACAUUCAUUCAUGAGUUGAAUAAAACAGAAACCUGUUACCUGGUUCAGAGCUAGAGAGACAGGCAGCAGAAACCUGUUACCUGGUUCAGAGCUAGAGAGAGACAGGCCGACAGGCAGCAGAAACCUGUUGCCUGGUUCAGAGCUAGAGAGAGACAGGCAGACAGGCAGCAGAAACCUGAUGCCUGGUUCAGAGCUAGAGAGAGACAGGCCGACAGGCAGCAGAAACCUGAUGCCUGGUUCAGAGCUAGAGAGAGACAGGCCGACAGGCAGCAGAAACCUGAUGCCUGGUUCAGAGCUAGAGAGACAGGCCGACAGGCAGCAGAAACCUGAUGCCUGGUUCAGAGCUAGAGAGAGACAGGCCGACAGGCAGCAGAAACCUGAUGCCUGGUUCAGAGCUAGAGAGAGACAGGCCGACAGGCAGCAGAAACCUGUUGCCUGGUUCAGAGCUAGAGAGAGACAGGCCCACAGGCAGCAGAAACCUGUUACCUGGUUCAGAGCUAGAGAGAGACAGGCAGCAGAAACCUGAUGCCUGGUUCAGAGCUAGAGAGAGACAGGCCGACAGGCAGCAGAAACCUGAUGCCUGGUUCAGAGCUAGAGAGAGACAGGCCGACAGGCAGCAGAAAUCUGAUGCCUGGUUCAGAGCUAGAGAGAGACAGGCCGACAGGCAGCAGAAACCUGUUACCUGGUUCAGAGCUAGAGAGACAGGCCGACAGGCAGCAGAAACCUGAUGCCUGGUUCAGAGCUAGAGAGACAGGCAGCAGAAACCUGUUACCUGGUUCAGAGCUAGAGAGAGACAGGCAGCAGAAACCUGUUACCUGGUUCAGAGCUAGAGAGACAGGCAGCAGAAACCUGUUACCUGGUUCAGAGCUAGAGAGAGACAGGCAGCAGAAACCUGAUGCCUGGUUCAGAGCUAGAGAGACAGGCAGCAGAAACCUGUUACCUGGUUCAGAGCUAGAGAGAGACAGGCAGCAGAAACCUGUUACCUGGUUCAGAGCUAGAGAGACAGGCAGCAGAAACCUGUUACCUGGUUCAGAGCUAGAGAGACAGGCAGCAGCAACCUGUUACCUGGUUCAGAGCUAGAGAGACAGACUGAUUCUCUCCCUCCCUUUUUCUCUCUGUGAGAAGUAUGUUCCCACCCACACACAACUACCCAGUGACCUGGAAAAACUGCUGCUCAGUCUAAAGAUAAAAGCACUUCUGGAACAUAAUGAUCCUUGUUUGUUUUUCCCUGGUCCCUUCUGUUCUAUGUGUUUGGUUCCUGGGUAGCAAGGCAUGACACAUUCACGUAAUCUAAUGGCUACAACGCUAGUAUUGUAGUCUAUGGAUCGACAAUAGCAUUUAGUUAGCUUCUGGUUAAAUCCCCAAGACAGAUCUGUCAAUGUAUUGACUGAUAUGCAAAUAUAAUGUGCUUUAUAUAUUCACAAACAUUAACCUCUGAUGGAAGUGUAAUUUGUAUAUAGUAAAAUAGUCUUUCAUACUUGUUUUAUGCAACCAACCUCACUUGAUUUACCAAAUAAAACCAUAAUAGAAAGAUAUUUUUAAUCCCAGCCCCUGUCCCCUCAGGUCUUUUUGCCUUUUGGUAGGCCGUCAUUGUAAAUAAGAAUUUGUUCUUAACUGACUUGCCUAGUUAAAUAAAGGUUAAAUCAAAAUAAAAUAUCUGCCGAUCAUAAGCGGUUUUCCUUUCUUUGAGCUACAGAAAUGUAUCUUUCAGUAUAAAAUAGCAGAAUAUUGGAGAAAGCUUUUCCCAACAUUGUAAGACAAAUUCAACGGUGCUGUUGGAGGCCGUUAUGACACUAUAACCUUUUCUAGAAUAAUCCGUAGUAAUCAUCCUGUUAUGGGAUUGGGUGAAUCUAUGUGCAUUGUAUUUAGGCAUAGGGAUAGGGGACUGCUUCGGACUGCAUGAAUGAUUCCCUAAAGGUCAAUAGAAACCUUCUGUCAGGGUUAUGAUAGGGUCAAGGUUAAGUUACUGUCCAAAUGGCUAGUUUCUGUGGGAAGUGAGAUGAUGGCUUUCAACGUAGCAGUUGGGGAGAGAAGUGAGAAUGACAAGAUGCAGAUAUCAGAAUGGUAUCUGAAGGGAGAUCAGAGCCAAACAGCCAUCUGGUCCAGCCUGUCCCAUCCUGCUGAGACAUUCACCCCAGGUACUGUAGAUAAGACUGGCUCUGUAGCACUGUGCUGCUAUACAGCUGAGGGUAUCCUGUUGGGUGAAUACAUCUGGUCGGAGAUUUUCUCUGCCUCCGUAUCCGAGUACCGUACCGGAGUAGAACCUAACAGUGUCAGGCAAUAUGGUGUCUUGACUCAAGACAAGAACAGCCUAAUGGCCUGGUGUCAGACAACAUGGUUUGACUCAAGACAAGAACAGCCUAAUGGCCUGGUGUCAGACAACAUGGUGUCUUGCAGUGUUGGCAGUAGGAAGCCCCCUCCACUAGACAUACUUAUCAUAACGGUGUUACAUUUCACAUAGCAAUUGACUGUACUGAAUAGUCCUAAGCUUCCAGAAUAAACUUUACACAGCAUGGUAGGAAUGGACAUUCCCAUUUACUUACUAUACUUGGCAGAGGGAUUGUUUGUUUCUAGUAUUUCAGAUCCAUAACUGCCAAAAGAUCCAUAACUGCCAAAGGCUUCAUAAGUCACAGACAAGAAGGUAAGAGGAUCCAUGCAUAUCAAUGGUCUGUUUCCAGUAUUCAGCCUGACAGAGUUGAACACUGAGUGCCCAGGUUAAAACCUCUACGGGAUCGUGUGUCCCAGCCGCGGGAUGGUUGAGCUAACGUGCGCUAAUGUGAUUAGCAUGAGGUUGUAAGUAACAAGAACAUUUCCCAGGACAUAGACAUGUCUUAUAUGGGCAGAAAGCUUAAAUUCUUGUUAAUCUAACUGGACUGUCCAAUUUACAGUAGCUAUUACAGUGAAAGAAUACCAUGCUAUUGUUUGAGGAGAGUGCACAACAGAAAACGUAUCACGGCAACUGGUUUGAUACAUUCACCUCUGAAGGUAAAUAAUGUACUUACAUUCAGUAAUCUUGCUCUGAUUUGUCAUCCUGAGGGUCCCAUAAAAUGUAGCAUAGUUUUGUUUGAUAAAAUCUAUUUUUAUAUUCAAAUGUAGGAAGAGGGUUCUACAGUUUGAACCCCUGCCCCUAGAUGUGUGAAGGUUAGUGUAUUUUCUAUAGGGAAGCUAAUUAUUCAUCACAUUCCUGAGUGUGUAAACUUACAAAAAUUAUAUGGUAAUAAAAAAAUGUAUGUUCUCUAUAGGGUUUGAUCCUUUUAAUGUUGACUGACGAAUAAAGGUUGACUGACGGAUACUGAGUGCCCAGGUUAAUGUUGACUGUUUGGCAUAGCAAGAUUGUUUUCAGAGCAAUAAAUUCCAUUGAAAGAAACAGAAAUGACAGACAAGUCUAUAAUUAGGCUGAGGCGACUUUUACUAGACAUCUGCAAUCACAGGGUGACAAAGUGGAGAAGUUAACAAAAGUUAUGAGGGCACCACGGUGUUACAGACAAGUACAAAUGUAAAAAAAAAAAAAAGAUUUUUUAUAUAUAUAUAUUUUGUUCAUAGAUUUAAAAAAAACAAAAACGGGAUACAAAUAAAACAACGGUCAUUGUCAACCUGUCCUACUAAGACAAACAAAAAAAGCGUGUGUGUUCCAAUAUCCAUACUACCUAGUAUGAAGCAAUGUAAGAGGCAUACAUUCUAUGUAGUGUGGAGGAUGGAACCGCAUUAAGGGUUUAGGGAAUGGGGACGCAGCCUCCGUCUCCUAGCGUUUGUCCCAUCUCUCAGGAGGGGGGUGGACUCCCCGGCUCCGGCCUCCCGGCUUCGCUGCCGUCGCUGACCUGCCUCUUCAUCACCAUCUCCCUGGCAACGCAGGUCACCUGGCCGUUGGUCACAGUCAUGGCCGCCGCCCUGGAAGAGAGGGGUCGAGUGUGAGAGCAAAGCAAAACGGGGAGAGGUAAGGAUGACCUGCGUGGCUCAGUCGGGAAGACUGUAGCACUAACAAUGCAAAGGUCGCCAGUUCAAUUCCCAGGGAUGGAGGACAGUGUGAGCGAGGAGGAGUUGUUUAGGGAGAGAGAGGUUGAGUGUGAGAACAAGGAAAACUGGUGUUGUAUUCAGCAGGGAGCACCUUGCUUAAUGUUGUAGAUGAAACUGCCAUGAGGAUUAUGUCUUAGUGUGUCAGAAAGCUGUCUGUCCUAGUGAGGGACCCAGGAGGGAGUAUUCAUGAAGCAAGACAAUAAGGGUUUGGAAAUGUCAGCUAAUGAAUUGACUACUAGUUGAAGUUGUUUCACAACACUUAUAAAGAGCUGGGGGUUUUUCCGCUAGCAUUCUGGUAAGACGCCCAAUGGGCUUUAGCGGGGGUUUUUUGCACCCCCUUGUGUAAAACCGUAAAUCCCAGUGUGAGAGAAGGACAGUAUAAGGAUACACGCGAAUAUGAAAACCUUGCUACCGCACAUUUGUGUGAAAUUACAGAUGCUUAUUUGUUUGAUAUUAAUAAGCCUGUAUUCUGGAUGGCCUUGUCUUCACCUCUUCUGACCAACUAGUCGGUAUAAUGUAAGUAAGUCCCAUAGUGAACAAUGUAACUUAAGAUACGCACCUUUGUCUUUAACGCUAAUAAAAAGGCCCAAUGUCUUUAACGCUAAUAAAAAGGCCCAUUGUCUUUAACGCUAAUAAAAAAGGCCCAACCAAGAAUCUGUUUGUUUGUCCAUUUAUGAACACUUGCCAUCUCACCUUUACUAUAGUAGCUAUCAGGAAGGUUAGUCUCCUCACCUAACAGUGGGUGAGGGCGGGGUUAACGGUGUGCUGAGUAGGUGUGGGAGGAGCUAUGAAUGGACAUUUCUCCAUUGAAAGUCUAUGGCCAUUGGAAUGCAUUGAAAUAGUAUCAAAAUGGUGGGCAGAAGGAAGAUAAUGUGAUUAGGUCAAGUCGAAUUCCAUAAGAGAUGUAACAAGCACACUAAAACCUUAAAAGUAUUACCUCUGGUUAGAUCAGUAGCUUGUGACUUUACUGCAUUAGGUUAAAAAAAAAUAAAGCUUUAUUUUUAAAACUUACAAGAUAAUUUUUUUUUACGAAUUCGUCAAAGAUUUAAUGCAUAUUGCAUAAAUUAACAUGAAAUGUGUAUUAUACACACAAAUAUAAAACGUUGGUGCCAUGAACUUAAUUAAGAUCCCAGAACUUUCCAUACUCAAAAAACAUCUAAAAUGUUGUGCACAAAUUUGUUUAGACCCGUUUUAAUGACCUUUUUCUCCUUUGCCAAGAUAAUUAAUCCACCUGACAGGUGUGGCAUAUUAUGAAGCUGAAUAAACAGCAUAAUCAUUACACAGGUGCACCUUUUGCUGGGUACAAUAAAAGGCCUCUAAAAAUGGGCAGUUUUGUCACACAACACAAUGCCACAGAUGUCUCAAGUUGAGGGAGUGUGCAAUUGGUAUGCUGACUGCAGGAAUGUCCACCAGAACUGUUGCCAGAGAAUUUAAUGUUAAAUUAUCUACCAUAAGCUGCACUCAGCGUCAUUUUAGAUAAUGUGGCAGUAUGUCUAAGACCAGCCACCCGGACAGCUGAUAAAACAGAGGAGUAUUUCUGUCUGUAAUAAAGCUCUUUUGUGGGGAAAAAACUGAUUGGCAGGGCCUGGCUCCCCAGUGCGUGUGCCUGUGACAGUCCAUGCCCACCCAUGGCUGCGGCCCUGCACAGUCAUAUGAAAUCCAUUGAUUAGGGCCUAAUUUAUUUAAAUUAACCGAUUUCCUUUUAUGAACUGUAACUCAGGAAAUUUCUCCCUCUCAAAUUCCAGUUAACUCCUGAAAAUGACUUUGUUUGUUAAUCUGAGUCCACCUGGUGUCAUUUUGGCACCAUUUUUUUAGAAAAGGCUUUGCCAUUGACAUGUGCAUCUUAUCCUGUGACCUUUUGACCCAGAAUUGAGACACACACACACAAAGAAAAUUAUAUAUCUUAGCAAUGGUAAGCCCUACAGACAUGAAACAAAGUGCACUGUGCUUCUGAGAGUAUGUUCAGUUCAGCUCUAAAAGCAAUGUUUAUUUUACACCCCCCCCCCCCAAGGGAGCGCAAUGGAACCAGAGGAUAAGUCAAGAACAUUCUGAAGUGUUUUGAAUACGUAAGAGGUUAUAGUCCAUUACCCACAUUUCUCCCAGUUGCCUACUUUAACUUACUUCUGCUUGGCCUCCUCAGUCAGAGUGGUCAUUCCUGGCUGGUUCUGCUUCCCAAAGAAGAAGCUGGACCACCAAUGUCCAGAGUCUUGUUUGGGCAGACCUGAGAAACAAGAUUAACAACUAGGUCAAACACAUAGAAAAUGAAUAAACAUAAGACAAUUACCUAUAUAAUAGCCCCAACAUAAUACAUAAAAGGUUCACACGGAUAUACAGUAACCCGAUUACCCGAUAAUUCUAUAGUUGACCCUCGGAUCGGAUCACGCUCGGUGGCCACGGACCGGUGUGAAAAUACAGACCAGAUCUGAAAUUAUUUGAAGAAAAUAUCCUAAUAAAAAUAAAUAAUCUAAUUAGCUACACAUGGCAGUUGGCUCAGUAAAAAAUAUUUAAUCUGUCUCCUUCACCGGUCUUCCUCGCUCUGUCUGACUUGAGCUCUCGCUAUUCCUGGGGUUGUGUGUUUCGUCACAAUGUACUUUUGAAUGUUCGUUUUGGACUGAUGUCCGACUGAGCAUUCUACUCAACGCAUCAUCAAUGAUCGCUGAUGGAGAUUUCAAAAGGUGCAUUACAGUGGCUUGGAAAUACAAUGACAUUCAAAAUGGAGGCAAAUAAUUAGUAGGAAAACAUUUUCAUGUCACCAGAUUGACUUUAGAUGUAGUAUAACGCUUGCUAGCAUUGCCAGCUAUUUUUGACAAACUUUACUAGCUAAUGUCAACAUUGCCAACCGUCUAAAGUAAGUUUGAUGACAUGUUAACGCUGACAAAGUUGUUUCCUACUAAAUAUUUGACUACUUUAGCGAUGUCAUCGUAUUUCCUGGUCCCCCAAAAAACAAACAAGAAAAGUAGUUUUGCUGUAAUACACAGCUGUAUUUGAGCCAGGGCGAAGUGUUCAGAUAGUCUAUUUUAUGACGUUUCCGCUGGAUAUACGGGAUCAGCAAUAUGUUGCCAUUUCACUAUGGAGAGAACGAGAGUGUUGGAAAGAUGUUUCAAAUACAGUGAGGAACUAUACUGUGGUGACCAUAAAAAUACAUUGAGAAGCUCUGAGGCACAUAAGUGGUGGUGCAUUAGGACAAUUAGAAAUCCCCAAACUGGAACUUUUAUAGACCUACAGGCCAGGUACUUCUUUACAUGUUCAAGUUAAAUAAUACAUAAUACAUACAUACAUAGCUCCAAAAAAUAAAGGGAACACUAAAAUAACACAUCCUAGAUCUGAAUGAAUGAAAUAAUCUUAUUAAAUACUUUUUUCUUUACAUAGUUGAAUGUGCUGACAACAAAAUCACACAAAAAUAAUCAAUGGAAAUCCAAUGUAUCAACCCAUGGAGGUCUGGAUUUGGAGUCACACUCAAAAUUAAAGUGGAAAACCACACUACAGGCUGAUCCAACUUUGAUGUAAUGUCCUUAAAACAAGUCAAAAUGAGGCUCAGUAGUGUGUGGCCUCCACGUGCCCGUAUGACCUCCCUACAAUGCCUGGGCAUGCUCCUGAUGAGGUGGCAGAUGGUCUCCUGAGGGAUCUCCUCCCAGACCUGGACUAAAGCAUCCACCAACUCCUGGACAGUCUGUGGUGCAACGUGGCGUUGGUGGAUGGAGCGAGACAUGAUGUCCCAGAUGUGCUCAAUUGGAUUCAGGUCUGGGGAACGGGCGGGCCAGUCCAUAGCAUCAAUGCCUUCCUCUUGCAGGAACUGCUGACACACUCCAGCCACAUGAGGUCUAGCAUUGUCUUGCAUUAGGAGGAACCCAGGGCCAACCGCACCAGCAUAUGGUCUCACAAGGGGUCUGAGGAUCUCAUCUCGGUACCUAAUGGCAGUCAGGCUACCUCUGGCGAGCACAUGGAGGGCUGUGCGGCCCCCAAAGAAAUGCCACCCCACACCAUGACUGACCCACCGCCAAACCGGUCAUGCUGGAGGAUGUUGCAGGCAGCAGAACGUUCUCCACGGCGUCUCCAGACUCUGUCACGUCUGUCACAUGUGCUCAGUGUGAACCUGCUUUCAUCUGUGAAGAGCACAGGGUGCCAGUGGCGAAUUUGCCAAUCUUGGUGUUCUCUGGCAAAUGCCAAACGUCCUGCACGGUGUUGGGCUGUAAGCACAACCCCCCCACCUGUGGACGUCGGGCCCUCAUACCACCGUCAUGGAGUCUGUUUCUGACCGUUUGAGCAGACACAUGCACAUUUGUGGCCUGCUGGAGGUCAUUUUGCAGGGCUCUGGCAGUGCUCCUCCUGCUCCGUCUUGCUGCUGGGUUGUUGCCCUCCUACGGCCUCCUCCACGUCUCUUGAUGUACUGGCCUGUCUCCUGGUAGCGCCUCCAUGCUCUGGACACUACGCUGACAGACACAGCAAACCUUUCUGCCACAGCUCGCAUUGAUGUGCCAUCCUGGAUGAGCUGCACUACCUGAGCCACUUGUGUGGGUUGUAGACUCCGUCUCAUGCUACCACUAGAGUGAUAGCACCGCCAGCAUUCAAAAGUGACCAAAACAUCAGCCAGGAAGCAUAGGAACUGAGAAGUGGUCUGUGGUCACCACCUGCAGAACUACUCCUUUAUUGGGGGUGUCUUGCUAAUUGCCUAUAAUUUCCACCUGUUGUCUAUUCCAUUUGCACAACAGCAUGUGAAAUGUAUUGUCAAUCAGUGUUGCUUCCUAAGUGGACAGUUUGAUUUCACAGAAGUGUGAUUGACUUGGAGUUACAUUGUGUUGUUUAAGUGUUCCCUUUAUUUUUUUGAGCAGUGUAUAUAUAAAAUAAACAUUUAACAAAAAGGGCAAACAAUUCACACAAUGAAAGCGCACAAAUUAGUGGGAGACAGAGCCAGAGAGCAUUCUGGAGAGACAGAACCAGAGAGCAUUCUGGAGAGACAGAGCCAGAGAGCAUUCUGGAGAGACAGAGCCAGAGAGCAUUCUGGAGAGACAGAGCCAGAGAGCAUUCUGGAGAGACAGAGCCAGAGAGCAUUCUGGAGAGCCAGAGCCAGAGAGCAUUCUGGAGAGCCAGAGCCAGAGAGCAUUCUGGAGAGCCAGAGCCAGAGAGCAUUCUGGAGAGCCAGAGCCAGAGAGCAUUCUGGAGAGCCAGAGCCAGAGAGCAUUCUGGAGAGACAGAGAGCAUUCUGGAGAGACAGAGCGUUUUAAUACUAAGCUGUAGUGUAGACCACAACGCAAUUCUCAAUAGAUCUGGUCCACCUCAGAUCCGAAUCAGGGAUUGAUUUCCCCCCCAAAAUAAAAAAAUGACCUGGUCCUGGUGGUGUCAGAUGGGAAUUUCACGGAUCCAAUUCGGUUAGGAUCUCAAUUUCAGGUCCAAGAAUACCUGAACUAAACAUAACUCACUAAAUGACCUCAUCACUGUGUACAUGUAAAGCUUCAGUAGACGAGGAAAAAACUGACUACCAUUCUCUGCUGCCUCAGUUGGUGUUGUCAUGGCACCGUGCCCUGAGGCAGCAGAGAAUGGUAGUCAGUCAGUUGGUGUUGUCAUGGCACCGUGCCCUGAGGCAGCAGAGAAUGGUAGUCAGUCAGUUGGUGUUGUCAUGGCACCGUGCCCUGAGGCAGCAGAGAAUGGUAGUCAGUCAGUUGGUGUUGUCAUGGCACCGUGCCCUGAGGCAGCAGAGAAUGGUAGUCAGUCAGUUGGUGUUGUCAUGGCACCGUGCCCUGAGGCAGCAGAGAAUGGUAGUCAGUCAGUUGGUGUUGUCAUGGCACCGUGCCCUGAGGCAGCAGGGAAUGGUAGUCAGUCAGUUGGUGUUGUCAUGGCACCGUGCCCUGAGGCAGCAGAGAAUGGUAGUCAGUCAGUUGGUGUUGUCAUGGCACCGUGCCCUGACUGGCACAACAAGGCAAUCCUACAGUCACCAACCUUAAAAGGUCUACCAUGUAGUAAGACUGGGACUAUACCAGUAUCGCCAUACUCAUACUACCCCAACAGUUAGGGAACUCCCAGUACCACCCCUGAACACAGUCCCUACCCCAACAGUUAGGGAACUCCCAGUACCACCCCUGAACACAGUCCCUACCACCACCCAUAUGCUUGCUUUGUGUACCUGGAUGGUGUGGAAUGACCUCCCCACUGUACUCUGAACUGCCACAGGAGCUGCUGCUGGAAGUGGAGCCGAGGCGCCCUGGGGAAAAGUUAAACCAAUAGGACUGUUAGGUUUGUACAGAACAACUCAUUCAGCACCUUUACAAGCCUACUCCAGACCUAGGCUAUUGUCACAGGAUCAAUCCAUACUUCUGUCACUGUCUCAGGAUAGGGCUGGACAAUACUACCCAUUCAUGACCAAGAGGUUUGAUCCCCACAAAUUCUGGGAGGUACAGUUAACUCUAAUGAACUCAUCCUCUGCAGCUGAGGUAAAUCUGGGUCUUUUCCUGUGUCAUGAGAGACAGUUUCAUCAUAGCACUUUCAAAGUUCUUGCAUUUUUCCAGAUUGACUGAUCUUCAUGUCUUAAAGUAAUGAUGGACUGUUGUUUCUCUUCGCUUAUUUGAGAUGUUCUUGCCAUAAUAUGGAUUUGGUCUUUUACCAAAUAGGGCUAUCUUCUGUAUACAAUCCCUACCUUGUCACAACACAACUGAUUGGCUCAAACACAUUAAGAAGGAAAUAAAUUCCACAAAUGAAUUUUUAACAAGGCGAGCCUGUUGAUUGAAAUGCAUUCCGGGUGACUACCUCAUGAAAAUAAAGGUGAAAUAAAAGGUUAGAUUACAACAACAAAAAAUGAAGCUGGUUGAGAGAGAAUGUCAAAAGGGUACAAAGCUGUCAUCAAGGCAAAGGGUGGCUACUUUGAAGAAUCCAAAAUAUAUUUGGAUUUGUUUAACACUUUUUUUUGGUUACUACAUGAUUCCAUAUGUGUUAUUUCAUAGUUGAUGUCUUCACUAUUAUUCUACAAUGUAGAAAAUAGUAAAAAAAAAAUUAAACUGUAGGUGUAUCCAAACUCUUGACUGAUACAUAUUUAUUUUUUUACUUGGGUGCCAGUUUUCAACACUUCCAAAGACAAAGGAAAAUCACACUGAUGGAGUUUGACUGAGUUACGGCCUGAGUGCUUCUUUUGUAAAGACAUGCCCUGGCCCGAGAGCUACUCACUUCGGUAGUAGUCAUUGGUAGCAACAAGAGAAGCGCCUGCAUUGAUCGCUGCCAUUCUUCAGAUCUUGUUGAAUAGUGCGUUAGAUAGAAACCCUGGAAGAAGAAUGGGACACUAAGUCAGACAUUUGUACAUAGACAGAGAUUAUAGCACAAGUUUUUGCAACGAUGUAGUUCCUAGCCAGUCCUUCAGAAUGCAUGGCUGGCUAACUACAUACAGUAACAAGCAAUAAGAGUCACCUCUCACACUUAGCUAUAUGAGAAAUAUUGAAACAAUCAUUGCUGCCAAGGCUGCCUCAAAUUGUUAGUGUGUAGGCUACCAUCUGUUCUGUGACUUUAAUGUAGGCAUCUGAUACUACUAAACACAAAUGACAAGGUUUUUUAUUUAUUUAUUUAAAAUUAACCUUUAUUUAAACAAGGCAAGUCAGUUAAGAACAAAUUCUUAUCUACAAUAACGGCCUACCAGGGAACAGUGGGUUCACUGCCUUGUUCAGGAGAAGAACGACAGAUUUUUUUUUACCUUGUCAACUCCGGGAUUGAACCCAAUUGACAUUUCAGUUACCGGACCAACCGUCUAACCACCCAACCGGCCGUCUAACCACCCAACCGGCCGUCUAACCACUGUCGCCCCAAAACUACAAUAUCUCGCUGAUGUGGGUGUGCUAAACUCAGGGACCAUUCGACCUAAAUCUAACCAUGAUUUCAAUUAACAACUGCCAUUCGCUGGUGGUACAUAACUAGCUAGUUAACGUUAGAUAGCUAGGCGCCUAAUUAUACUUUACUAGCUAAUUUACAAUGUUACCAUUCUUAAAAAAAAAAAGUGAUCGAAAAUGACAAACUUGAGUUUAGAAACAUAACAUUUGUUAGUCUGUUGUUGAAGAAAAAGCCAACUCGACUAACCGUUAGCUAGAAGAACAUGUCCAUUUUGGGGACGAAAGGCCUAAAAAUGACUCUCGAGUAAAAUGUCAAAAGCAAAUUUUACUUGGCUAUGUUGGCAAACAAUUAACAUAAAAGUGAGUGUAGCUGCAAACAAAUGAUUUCGUGCUGUUGUCAUACAAAGCAAAUGUCCAAAAACAACAAGCACAUCUUCUUACAUGACCGAGUAUCAUUAGCAUUAGCUAACUUAGCAUCGACUGAAUUCAAUCAUCAAAACUGCCGUUUCAAGCAAAUCUCACCUUUUUUGUUGUUGUUGUUGUUACCCAAGAGAUGUUAAAACAGCAGCCAACUGAAUCAGCGAGGCUAGGUAGGGGAGUUAACGCUAGGCGACGGGGCCCAUUUGAAACUAGAUUUAGGGGGUAAAUACGACCCUGCGGUAGUAGUGAAGUAUAUCUGCGGUAAAUGUUAUGCCAGAAUGAAGGAUUUGGAGAGAGGUUUUAUACUACGAGG
rnacentral:lncRNA from 1 species